rnacentral:rRNA from 1 species
AUGUUAGCGGCGGACGGGUGAGUAACACGUGGAUAACCUACCUAUAAGACUGGGAUAACUUCGGGAAACCGGAGCUAAUACCGGAUAAUAUUUUGAACCGCAUGGUUCAAAAGUGAAAGACGGUCUUGCUGUCACUUAUAGAUGGAUCCGCGCUGCAUUAGCUAGUUGGUAAGGUAACGGCUUACCAAGGCAACGAUGCAUAGCCGACCUGAGAGGGUGAUCGGCCACACUGGAACUGAGACACGGUCCAGACUCCUACGGGAGGCAGCAGUAGGGAAUCUUCCGCAAUGGGCGAAAGCCUGACGGAGCAACGCCGCGUGAGUGAUGAAGGUCUUCGGAUCGUAAAACUCUGUUAUUAGGGAAGAACAUAUGUGUAAGUAACUGUGCACAUCUUGACGGUACCUAAUCAGAAAGCCACGGCUAACUACGUGCCAGCAGCCGCGGUAAUACGUAGGUGGCAAGCGUUAUCCGGAAUUAUUGGGCGUAAAGCGCGCGUAGGCGGUUUUUUAAGUCUGAUGUGAAAGCCCACGGCUCAACCGUGGAGGGUCAUUGGAAACUGGAAAACUUGAGUGCAGAAGAGGAAAGUGGAAUUCCAUGUGUAGCGGUGAAAUGCGCAGAGAUAUGGAGGAACACCAGUGGCGAAGGCGACUUUCUGGUCUGUAACUGACGCUGAUGUGCGAAAGCGUGGGGAUCAAACAGGAUUAGAUACCCUGGUAGUCCACGCCGUAAACGAUGAGUGCUAAGUGUUAGGGGGUUUCCGCCCCUUAGUGCUGCAGCUAACGCAUUAAGCACUCCGCCUGGGGAGUACGACCGCAAGGUUGAAACUCAAAGGAAUUGACGGGGACCCGCACAAGCGGUGGAGCAUGUGGUUUAAUUCGAAGCAACGCGAAGAACCUU